UACGAAGGGGGCUAGCGUUGCUCGGAAUUACUGGGCGUAAAGGGUUUGUAGGUGGCUUGUUAAGUCAGACGUGAAAUCCCUCAGCUUAACCGGGGAACUGCGUCUGAUACUGGAUGGCUUGAGGUUGGGAGAGGGAUGCGGAAUUCCAGGUGUAGCGGUGAAAUGCGUAGAUAUCUGGAGGAACACCGGUGGCGAAGGCGGCUCACUGGCCCGGUACUGACGCUGAGAUACGAAAGCGUGGGGAGCAAACAGG
rnacentral:rRNA from 1 species